rnacentral:lncRNA from 1 species
CUAUAGACUGUAUAAUUUAUUAAAAUUCAAGGACUAAAGGUUGUUCUAUUGUGCAACUGAUCUUGUUAUUAUUUGAGUUCUAAAGAUAUAAUUUUAAUAGCUAGAACUGAGCAGAAGAAUCAAUAAUGAGAAUGGAAAAGCAAAGGAAUUAAAUUCCAAGGUCAAUUAUUUGAGGAUUACUCUCCUUAUAACAAAAGGAAGAAUAAUAAUCCCGAUAAUUACUUCAAUCCCAUUAUUAAAAGGAAAGGAAGCCAAGAUAGAUAUUAAGCUCAAAGGAAUAAAGACGACAAAAUCCUCCUAAUGCCAACUUGGCUAAAGGAGAUGACUUAUCUAUCGUAGUUUUCUUCGAGAGGUGAGCAUGAUUAAUUAUAUUCUAGUGAGGAAAGGAAAAUAGUUUUUUUUCUUUGGUAAUUCUUGUUCUACACCAAUCUCAGAUAAGGAAUAUAUUCUUCUCAAACUUACUUAUGGGAAAAUCUUCUCACGAGUAAUAUAUUCUAUGUGCCUAAAAUACAAUACAAUUUGAUUUAUAUCUUUGUAUUGGGCAAGGCAUGAAUGUGUUUGUUAGUAAAUUGAUGGGUGUAGCAGACACACAACUAAAAUGAAAUUGAGAAAUAAUGAGACACAGAAUCACACAGGGACACCAGAAAUUACGUGGGUCGACUUUUAGCCUACGUCCACAGGCAAAGACAGAAUGAAAAUAUUUUACUAGUGAUAUGAGGAUUACAAGUAUUGUAAUAUUUUGGCUCACUUUCCAGAACCCCAAUACACCCAAUCUCUCACUCACUAAUUACACAAGAGUAUUAGAACUCUUAAUUUUUCCUCUCUUACAAAAGAUUGAUAACUAAAGAAUGGAAUGAUUGAAGAGCGGAAUGAAGUCUCU